AAGUCAUAAAGAUACGUCUGGGGGGAACAUAAUAAGGGAGAGGAAUACAUGAGAAAAAGGUUGUAAUAGAAGGUGCUACAAAGUAUCUAUUUGGUAGCACACAAAAUCUAUAGAGAGUUAUUAGCAAUAUAAAGGACAAAAAUGUGUCUAAGUAGUACCCUCUAUGAAUAUGUAUAUGUGUCCCGUGCCUUCGAGGGCACCUAGCUCCAACCCCCCAGAUGUCCGAUGAAUAGGUACAUCUAAAAAAUAA